AGUGAGCGGAGUAAAAAAUAAUAAAAUACAAGAAAUAAAUGGUAUAAAACGACGAAAAAUACCUGCCUCGGCAUGGACGUCGCCAUCUUGUCUGUCACGUGAUUACCCCCUCUGUAUAAACAGAUGGCAAGUAGGAGAAGUGCAGUGACUAAGAACCAUAACUCUAUCUACCUUAGUUUUCGAAAUAUCUCCCUUUAUUUAAUUUCAAAGUAAAUUUUUGUCUGGAGCAUAACUCUAAAUCUACUGAAGGGAUUUACUUGAAACUUGAAAUAUAAACAGAUGGCAAGUAGGAGAAUUGCAGUGACUAAGAACCAUAACUCUUUCUACCUUAGUUUUUGAAUGAUAUCACUUUAUUUAAUUUCAAAGUAAAUUUUUGUCCGGAGCAUUACUCUAAAUCUACUAAAGGGAUUACUUGAACCUAGAAAUAUAAACAGAUGGCAACUAGGAGAAGUACAGUGAACAUAAACCAUAAUUCUUUUGGCCGUAAUUUUUGAAUUAUCUCCCUUUUAAGCUCACCUGUCAAGAAGUGACAUGGUGAGCUUAUGUGACCGUGUGAUGUGCGGCGUCCGUAUGUACGUGCGUGCGUGUGUGCGUGCGUGCGUCCGUCAACAAUUUGUUUGUGUAGACAGUAGAGGUCACAGUUUUCAUCCAAUCUUUAUGAAAUUUGGUCAGAAUGUUUAUCUUGAUGAAAUCUGGGUUGGGAUUGUAUUUGGGUCAUCUGGGGUCAAAAACUAGGUCACUAGGUCAAAAACUAGGUCAAAUAAUUGAAAAACCUUGUGUAGACUAUAGAGGUCGCAGUUUUCAUCCAAUCUUUAUCAAAUUUAAUCAGAAUGUUAAUCUUGAUGAAAUCUGGGUUGGGAUUGUAUUUGGGUCAUCUGAGGUCAAAAACUAGGUCACUAGGUCAAAUAAUAGAAAAACCUUGUGUAGACAAUAGAGGUCGCAGUUUUCAUCCAAUCUUUAUGAAAUUUAGUCAGAAUGUUUAUCUUGAUGGAAUUCUGGUUGGGAUUGUAUUUGGGUCAUCUGGGGUCAAAAACUAGGUCACUAGGUCAAAAACUAUGUCAAAUAAGUGAAAAACCUUGUAUAGACAAUAGAGGUCGCAGUUUUCAUCCAAUCUUUAUGAAAUUUGGUCAGAUUCUUUAUUUUGAUGAAAUCUGGGUUGGGAUUGUAUUUGGGUCAUCUGGGGUAAAAAACUAGGUCACUAGGUCAAAAACUAGGUCAAAUAAUAGAAAAACCUUGUGUAGACAAUAGAGGUGGCAGUUUUCAUCCAAUAUUUAUAAAAUUUGGUCAGAUUGUUUAUCUUGAUGAAAUCUGGGUUGGGAUUGUAUUUGGAUCAUCUGAGGUCAAAAACUAGGUCACUAGGUCAAAUAAUAGAAAAAACGUCAACAAUUUGUUUGUGUAGACAGUAGAGGUCACAGUUUUCAUCCAAUCUUUAUGAAAUUUGGUCAGAAUGUUUAUCUUGAAAAAAAUGGGUUGGGAUUGUAUUUGGGUCAUCUGGGGUCAAAAACUAGGUCACUAGGUCAAAAACUAGGUCACUAGGUCAAAUAAUAGAAAAACCUUGUAUAGACAAUAGAGGUCGCAGUUUUCAUUUAAUCUUUAUGAAAUUUGGUCAGAAUGUUUAUCUUGAUGAAAUCUGGGUUGGGAUUGUAUUUGGGUCAUCUUGGGUCAAAAACUAGGUCACUAGGUCAAAUAAUAGAAAAACCUUGUGUAGACAAUAGAGGCCACAGUUUUAUUCAAUCUUCAUGAAAUUUGGUCAAAAAGGUUUGUCUUGAAGAAAUCUGGGUUGGGAUUGUAUUUGGGUCAUCUGGGGUCAAAAGCUAGGUCACUAGGUCAAAUAAUAGAAACACCUUGUGUAAGCAAUAGAGGUCACAGUUUUCAUCCAAUCUUUAUAAAAUUUGAUCAGAAUGUUUAUCUUGAUGAAAUCUGGGUUUGGAUUGUAUUUGGGUCACCUGGGGUCAAAAACUAGGUCAAUAGGUCAAAUAUUAGAAAAACCUUGUGUAGACAAAAGAGGUCACAGUUUUCAUCCAAUCUUUAUGAAAUUUGGUCAGAAUGUUUAUCUUGAUGAAAUCUGGGUUGGGAUUGUAUUUGGUUAGUCAGGUGAGCGAUUCAGGGCCAUCAUGGCCCUCUUUUUUUUUUUUUUUUUAUUAUUUAUUUAUAAUUUUUAAUAUAUAUUUAAUUUAAUUUCAUAGUAAAUAUUUUAGCUUUUCAAUUUUAAAUUUCUCCCCUUAUCUAAUUUUACAAUAAUAUUUUACUUUGAACACUGAAGUAUUCACUGUAAAAUGAAUAGAUGAGUUUAAGGAAAAAUACAGUGAUCAAGAACAGUAACUGUUUAUAGUCUUCUUUUUUAAUUACCUCCCUUUCUUUCAUUUCCAUAUAUUUUAUUCUCUAAAGCAUAACUCCAACACUAUAUAACUAAUUGAUCCUUGAAAUAUAAAUAGAUGCCACAGGUUCCAUGUUUUACAAAUAUUAUUCUGCUCUCUAAAACAAAUGUUGUCAUACAAGCAAACACAUUUCGGCGGGGAUUUGGCACUACUGUGACAAGCUCUUGUUUAAAAUAUGUGAAUUAACAAAUCAUUAACAAUAUUUACUUUUUUGUAUCUUUCUUAAAAAAUGCUAAUAAGACAUGCAUUUUUAUAGACUUAAAAUGUUUUUCUUCAGAUUUACCUUUUGUUUAACAUUGUAAAAAAGUUUCAAUGUGCACGGUCAGAACAUAAUGCCUUAAUAAAAAUCUGUUACUUAUAUUCUGAGUGGAUGGGCAUGGUAUACUGAUAGUAUAAACAUGGGCAAUUAAAUAUCUAUCCUACUUUCUUUUAUGGUAAUGCAUUUUUAGCACAACAUUUUUAGUACAAAAAUGAGUACAAAAUGCUCAUGUGGAGCUUUUGUUAUUACCUUUUGUCACUUGUGUGUCAUCUAUCGUCAACAUUUGCCUUGUGAACACUUUAGAGGCCAUAUUUAUUGCCCAGCUUAAGAGAGUUUGAAACUGGGUCCUGUGUGGCCAUAAACUCGGUCAUUAGGUCAAAUUAAUGGUAAAGCUUGUGAACCCUCCAGAUGCCACAUUUAUUGCCAAAUAUUCCAGAAACUUGGUAAGAAUAUUUUUUCCAAUGUCUCCACCGGGUUUGAAACUUUUGCACAUGGUGUCAGAUAUAAGGUCACUAGGUCAUAUUAAAGAAAAUCUUGUGAACACUAUUGAUGGCUUAUUUAUUGCCCAAUCUUCACGAAACUUGGUCUGAACAUUUUAUAUAUAAUUUCUCUACCUAUGAUUGCACUCUAUUAAAAAAAAACAUGGCUGCAAUGAAACAUUGAAUUUUUCCUCAUCCAGAUAUAAGAAAACCAUUUAAACACACUAGAAACUUGUAAAGGAUAAUACAAAAGUUGUGUUAUGAUAUAUGGACUGAGUCCAAAAAUAAAUGUGGUUUGUUGAAAAACAUAGCUGGCAAGUGUUGGGGCAGUUUUUAUUGUGAAACCAAGUGAACACAACCUGGUCAGAACAGAUAUGUUCCUUCUAUCAGCAAAAAGACUUAGGGCCUAUGGCCUGAUCCUUUUCAGCUUCUGCUUAUUCAAUGUCUGCCGUACAACUUGUUGCGUUUGUUUACAGCAUUAAAACAUGAUGCCCAGAUCUAUUUUACAGUGAUUGACAUUGGAAUAUGAAGAACUUUGUACUUAAUAACAUACAUAUUUAUAUAAAUAAAUAGUGUUCAGUAUUUAACAUACAUUAAUAUGCAGAUUAGAUGUUUCUUCAGGUUUUAACAAAUUAUAAAUGAGUAAAUAACUAUUAUAUUAAUUCCUCAAAUGAUGGUUAUUGCACAGUUUACAAUAAUCUAUAACAUACUGAAACUUUAUACUGAAGAUUAUUUAUUUUUGCUUGGAAAAUAGUCCAUAGAAUAAGAUUUGCAAAACAAUCCAAGCAAUAGGUAUGCAAUAAAGGCAAAUUAAAACUGCAGUAUAGUUUGCCAACAUAUUGCAUUAAACAAAGCAUUUGAAGACUACCAAAUUAUGAAUAUUUUUUUCCAAAUACUGUAUUAUAUAACCAACCUAAAAACAAAACACCUGUUUUCUUGGAAAAUCAUUCUCUUAACAAAUGACUUACAGCCAAAUAUUGAACAUCAAUGAUCAUUUUGAUGCAUAAACAGUGUGAAAACAAGUGUGUAUAGUCAAGGCUUAGGAAAGCUAAUUAAUAUAUAAAAAAUAAUGAAGUCAUUACAUAUAAACAAGAUAACAUUAAUAGAAUUAUUUCAAUAAACAUCUUAAAUAUAGGUACGCUUACAAGGACACUAGGCAAAUCACGCUUAAUUACUUAAAAUGUACAAUCACUAUUUAUCAUACAGUUGUAGAAAACACAUAAAUGAAGACAUAUCAAACAACAGACAUAUAUGUGUAUGUCAUUGUGCAUACACAUACCUUUUUGCUGUAUCUUUGUUAACAUAUAGUCUUUUCUCUUAAAUCAAGCUUGUGUGUCUUGGUUAGGCACUGGGCGUCCUAAACAUUUACCUUGUUAACACAAUAGAGGCCACAGCACAUUAGUCCCAAUGAUAUCUGAGCCUAGUUUGAGCGUGGGAUCAAAAACUAGGUCUUUAGGUCAAAUUAAAGAAAAAGCAUGUUAUUAGUCUAGAGGUGAUAUUAUUCCAAAAUGGUUCCACUACUUUAAACAAGAGGCCCCAAAGGGCCCUGGGUCGCUCACCUGAGAGACUUAGAUGGAAAGAAACAAAGAUUAAAACUCUUCAGCAAAUAUUUCAAAUUAUUAGUAUGACAAGACUGAAUUUAAAAAUAAGGUGUUCCAAAGUAUUCACAAUAGGCCUAUAUAAAAGAUUACCCCACCCACCCUGGCGGCCAUGUUUUUAAUACCCAGAUUUAAAAAAAAUAUAUAUAUAAGGAAAAUGCUUCUUACAAACAUAUAGAGAAAACUACCCAUCCCCUGGCGGCAAUGUUUUUCCACUUAUCACGACCAUUUUCAAACUCAUCCGAUAUAUAAAUAAAAGCAAUGUUUUGACCAAGUUUCAUGAUGAUUGGCCAAAAAAUGUGACUUUUAGAGUGUUCACAGGCUUUUUCAGUAUAUAAAUAUAAGGAAAAUGACACCCCCCCCCCCCCCCCCCCCCCUGGCGGUCAUGUUACUAGAUGGAUCAAAACCAUUUUUGAACUCAAGCGUCGUAUCCAGGAAACAAGGGUUGUUAACGUUGUUUUGUGAAAAGAAAAGGUUUGCUGUUUUGGCAGAUAUAUACAUAUAUGCGUUAUCAGUAGUUUUGUGUGUGUGUGUUUAAUUUUUUUUAAAUAGACAUUUGGUACCUGUUGCGACAAAGCUAUUAUUUUGGAUAAAAGUAAUAUGAGGACAGUAAUUUAAUAAUGAGCAUCAGCAAAAGAAAAUGAGAGUACAUUUUUCAACAAAUUGUUGUCCAAAUUUGAGAUCAUGAGAUAAGCAUCUCAGCAUCUUAUAGGGGAUGACUGUUUACAAUCUGUUUAGCAAGAACACUUUUAGAUACUGAAAACAACCGUAUUUGUUCAAGAAAUUGUGUUUUUAUAAAAUAGUUUUUGCAUAAUUAAAUAAAAUAUGUUGAAUUGUUAUCAUAUAUCAAAGUCAGUUAUAAAAAAGUAAAUGAGUAUGAGAAUAUGUACAGCUACUAGAAAUUCAAUAUUGAUCUUCUUUUUUAGUACAAAACAUCACUUGAUCUUUCUUAUAGUUAUAAAUGUGUGCAAAUAUAGAAGUAAACACACACAAGACAUUUGAAAAUGUAUCAUAUCAAAACAACUAUCAAGCUAUUUGUAAUUUAAAUGCACAGAAAAUCUGUCGCAUAAAUACAUUAUUUUUGCAAAAACAAUUGCAUAUCAACUUUUCUUUAAACAGUUGUUUGUGCUUCUUAAAAAAUGUGAUAAGUUGUUGUUUUUUUACUACCAAAUUGUUCACAUUUUUGACAAAGUGUUUUUAAACAACUGGAACAAUUUUAGGACUCACCUUGCAUUGAUACUUCCAAUUGAAACAACAAUAAAACCUGCUAAAAUCACAAAUCUUUCAUAAUCACACACAAACUACUGACUAACUGAAAAUCAUAAGGGUAAAAAAUUUCAAGUUGUAAUGUCUUAUCUAUCUUAUGAAUGGUUUCCAUCUGACAUCAACACAAAGGUCUUUGAUGAAAGUGCCCAGUUAAUUGGGGUCAAUUUCCAAGAGUGUUACACAAUAACCACCUGGCAACAAUGCAGACACAGGUAUAAAUACGUUUUAUAUAGAGUAGCCUAGGAUAAGUGAAUGAAAAGUCAAAUAAGAUUCAUAUGUUACACUUCUUGUUGUUUUAUUGGUUUUUACCACUAUGUUAAAUUUCUGCAAAGAUAUAGAUAACAAUCAUAAGUAAUGGCAAUAAUUAAUUUGAGUAAUGCAGUAAUUAUAAUUAGAUAUUUGGGUUGUGGUUAAUGUUUCUGAAUCCAUUACCAGUAUCAUCAUAAUCAUCAUCAUUAUGAUCAUCAUCAUCAUCAUCAUCACAGGCUGUCAACUGAUUCCUAUAUUCCUAUAUUUUCCUAUAUUUUGGAGAAUUUUCCCAUAUUUUUCAAAACCUAUAUUUUCCUAUAUUUUUGACUUUUUCCUAUAUUUUGUUCUGAAAAUUUCAUCUUUAAAAAUAAAUACUUAUAAAAAGUAAUACUGCCUUAAGAUAUCUUAAUUUACAGUGUAAAAAGCUGUCCCUCCUCUUCCAAAGCAUCACCAUCUUGCAGGAGUGCUGUUGUACACCAUUGUGAAAUCUAUAUGGACACCUUUGAUGAAGAAAAAUACAACCAUUUCAAAGGUGUCCACAUUGAUGACCACAGUGUGUUGCUGCAUCAGCAAAUCUGCCUUGGUGGUGAAGAUGAGGGACUGUUUUGUUAAGUGAAACAUGAAUUUAUUGAUUAUAAGCGGAAAACAAGUAAGUAAGAAGUUCUUUGCAUAUCUCUAGAACAUUACUUUUUACCAUAAAAUUCCUAUAUUUUAACCCUAAACGAGCCCAAACCUAUAUUUUGAUGCAAAAAUUCCUAUAAUUUUUCCAAUUUUUUCAUGUCAGUUGAAGGCCUGUCAUCAACAUCUGCAUUACAACUAGAGUGUUAACAUGGUUUUAAUAUAGUCAUAUUAUGAAAACUGCCGCUACCCUGGCGGCCAUGUUUUUCAACAAACCGUAACCAUUUUCGAACUCAGCCAAGCUAUCAAUACAACAAAUCUUCGGACCAAGUUCCAUGAAGAUUGGGCUAUAAAUGUUACUUCUAGAGUGUUAACAAGGUUUCACUAUAGUCAUAUAAGCAAAGCUGCCCCGCCCCCUGGUGGCCAUAUUUUUCAACAGACCGAAACCAUUUUCAUACUCAGCCUAGAUAUCAUAAAAGCAAAUGUUUAAACCAAGUUCCAUAAAGAUUGGACUAUAAAUGUGACUCCUAGAGUGUUAACAAGGUUUAACUAUAGCCAUAUAAGCAAAACUGCCCUGCCCCCUGGCGGCCAUGUUUUUUUUACAGAUCCGAACCAUUUUCAAACGCAACCGUUGUAUCCACGAAACAAAUGUUCUGACCAAAUUUCAUGAAGAUUGGACCAAAAAUGUGACUUCUAGAGCGUUCACAUGUUUUCGCUAUAUACAUUUAGAGAAAACUGCCCCACCCCCUGGUGGCCAUCUUUUUUCACCGAUCUGGACCAUUUUCGAACGCGUCCGAGAUAUCAAUGAAAUCAAUGUUUUGACCAAGUUUCAUGAUGAUUGGGCAAAAAUUGUGACUUCUAGAGUGUUCACAACGUUUCUCUAUAGCCAUAUAAGGAAUACUGCCCCGCCCCCUGGCGGCCAUGUUUUUCAAUGGACCAAAACCAUUUUUGAACUCGACCAACAUAUCAUUAAGACAAACAUUUUGACAAAGUUACAUGAAGAUUGGGCAUCAAAUGUGACUUCUACAGUGUUCAAAAGGUUUUUCUUUUUUUGACCUAAUGACCUAGUUUUUGACCCAGCAUGACCCAGUUUCGAACUCGGUCGAGGUAUCAUUGGGACAAAUGUUCUGACCAAGUUUCAUGAAGAUCGGACAAUAAAUGUGGUCUCUAGAGUGUUCACAAGGCAAAUGUUGACAACGGACGCACAACGGACGACGGACAAAAGGCGAUCACAAUAGCUCACAAUGAGCACGUUGUGCUCAGGUGAGCUAAAAACAUCACUGCCAGGGGAUUGGUCAUGUUUCCUUAUAUGGUUAAAAUGAAUCCCUGCCUACACUUUGGCAGUCACAUGUUUUGUUGAAUUUUUGUGAAACUAACCUAGAAUAUUUGUUCUAAUAUUAUCUCUGCUGUGUUUGGAAACAGUUCUGGUCCAUUGAAAAACAUGGCCACCAGUAGUUCUGGCAGGUUGCCUUAUAUGGCUGUAGCAAAACCUUGUGAACUCUCUAGAAGUCACAAGUUUUGUCAAAUCUGCUUGAAACUUGCUCAGAAGAUUUGUUGUAAUGAUUUCUUGGGCAAGUACUUUUUUCUGUAUGUUGAAAAACACGACCACCAGGAAAUGGGGCAGCUUUUAUAUACGGCUAUAGUGAAAUCUUGUAAACACUCUGAAGGUCACAUUUUGUGUCAUAUCUUCAUGAAACAUGCUCAGAACAUUUGUUUUUGUUAUAUAACAGCGGCCUUUGAAAAUGGUUCUGGUCUGUUUAUAAAUAUGCUUCAAGGGGGUGGGGCAGUUUUCCUUACACCAGGCUUUACUGAAACCUUGUGAACAUUUAAUUCACAUGUUUUUUCCCAAUCAGCAUAAAACAUUAUCAAAACAUUUGUUGUAAUGAUAUCUCGGCUAAGUUAAAAAAUGUUUUUCUGGGUAAAAAGCAAUAUUGGGGGCCACAUUUAUUAUACUAACAUCACAAAAGCUGCUUAGAACAGUUGAAUUCCAUUGGUUUUCAGUUGAGCGAUCUAGAGCCUUCGGUCAUCUUGGUUUUCAUUUGUCCUUCAAAAGUGACAUAAAACCAAAAUAUAAAUAAGCCUCCCUUUUACUUUAUGGCUAUUAGUAUGUAUGUAUAUUGCUUUUUAGUAAAUGAACAGCGCCUUUCCACUCAGCAUGACAGUGACAUCUGAUUUGCAUGCUAAGUAAUGAUGUGGUGACCAUAUAUGAGUUUGUUAUGUAUUUUGUAAUCCUUUGAAAUGAACAACAUGGUAUACAUGUAUGUGUUGUUUUAAAUGGCUGGUUGUGCUUUGUAUUUGCCUUGAAUAAAUAUUUAGUGAACAGAUUUAUCUUUUUGUGCAUCCUUAGAAUCAACAAGGUCAUUUUGUGUAUCACAUGUUGUGACAUAUUGAAACCUAAUCUGAGUUUGAGUCUGGGUAACAUGCAUUCAAAAACUAGGUCACAAGGUAAAAUCUACAAAUUAUGUUGUCACUGCUCUAGAGUCCAAAUUAUGACUCAAUAUUAAACUUGGUAAAAAUGUUUGCCUUUAUAAUAUCAAGGUAGAGUUUAUAAUAUCAAGGUAGAGUUUGAAUCGGGUUCACAUUCAUCCUGUUACUGGAUAACCAAAUCUAAUCUUAAAAAAACAUUGUUUCCACUCCAGAGGUCACAUUUUUGACUGAAUCUGGAUAAAACUAAAUGUUUUUUCGAAUAUAUCUGGAGGAUAUCUGGGCCAAGUCGAAUUUCAGAUGAGUGGGUCCAAUAACAAGGUAACUAGGUCAAGGCUUCUAUAAACCUUGUUACCGGUACUGCUUUAGUAGCCACACUUGUGACUUCAUGAAACUUGAUCAGAAUGGCUUUGUUCACAAUGAAUUGGCCUAUUUAAGAUUUCUUAGUCACAUUCAUUAGAAACUUACAACCCUUCAAGCCACAUUUAUGAUAAAUCUUGAUUAAAAUGGUCAGAUGGUUAACCUGCACUAUAUUGUGGUCAUGUAAAAUAUGUCAAGUGUGGUUAAAAACUAGGUCACCAAGUCAACACUUCGUAAAUAUGGGAACCUUCAACCCAUGUGAGCCCUUUAGGGCCAUUAUGGCCCUCUUGCAGAUUAACAUUUUUUAUGCCCCCUGAUCGAUAGAUCGGGGGUAUAUUGUUUUUGGCCUGUCUGUCUGUCUGUCUGUCAUUCUGUCCCAAAACUUUAACCUUACAGUAAAGUUUUGCAAUAACUUUUGAAAUAUUGAACAUAGCAACUUGAUAUAUGGCAUGCAUGUGUAUCUCAUGAAGCUGCACAUUUUGAGUGGUGAAAGGUCAAGGUCAUCCUUCAAGGUCAAAGGUCAAAAAUUUAAAACUUUAAUAUAUUAAAGUUUUGCAAUAACUUUUGAAAUAUUGAACAUAGCAACUUGAUAUUUGGCAUGCAUGUGUAUCUCAUGGAGCUGCACAUUUUGAGUGGUGAAAGGUCAAGGUCAUCCUUCAAGGUCAAAGGUCAAAAAUUUAAAAAUUUAAUAUAGUAAAGUUUUGCAAUUACUUUUGAAAUAUUGAACAUAGCAACUUGAUAUUUGGCAUGCAUGUGAAUCUCAUGGAGCUGCACAUUUUGAGUGGGGAAAGGUCAACGUCAUCCUUCAAGGUCAAAGGUCAAAAAUUUUAAAUUUUAAUAUAGUAAAGUUUUGCAAUAACUUUUGAAAUAUUGAACAUAGCAACUUGAUAUUUGGCAUGCAUGUGUAUCUCAUGGAGCUGCACAUUUUGAGUGGUGAAAGGUCAAGGUCAUCCUUCAAGGUCAAAGGUCGAAAAUUUAAAACUUUAAUAUAGUAAAAUGUUGCAAUAACUUUUGAAAUAUUGAACAUAGCAUCUUGAUAUUUGGCAUGCAUGUGUAUCUCAUGGAGCUGCACAUUUUGAGUGGUGAAAGGUCAAGGUCAUCCUUCAAGGUCAAAGGUCAAAAAAAUUAAACUUUAAUAUUGUAAAGUUUUGCAAUAACUUUUGAAAUAUUGAACAUAGCAACUUGAUAUUUGGCAUGCAUGUGUAUCUCAUGGAGCUGCACAUUUUGAGUGGUGAAAGGUCAAGGUCAUCCUUCAAGGUCAAAGGUUGAAAAUUUAAAACUUUAAUAUAGUAAAGUUUUGCAAUAACUUUUGAAAUAUUGAACAUAGCAACUUGAUAUUUGGCAUGCAUGUGUAUCUCAUGGAGCUGCACAUUUUGAGUGGUGAAAGGUCAAGGUCAUCCUUCAAGGUCAAAGGUCGAAAAUUUUAAACUUUAAUAUAGUAAAGUUUUGCAAUAACUUUUGAAAUAUUGAACAUAACAACUUGAUAUUUGGCAUGCAUGUGUAUCUAAUGGAGCUGCACAUUUUUAGUGGUGAAAGGUCAAGGUCAUCCUUCAAGGUCAAAGGUUGAAAAUUUAAAACUUUAAUAUUGUAAAGUUUUGCAAUAACUUUUGAAAUAUUGAACAUAGCAACUUGAUAUUUGGCAUGCAUGUGUACCUCAUGGAGCUGCACAUUUUGAGUGGUGAAAGGUCAAGGUCAUCCUUCAAGGUCAAAGGUAAAAAAAAAAAGCGAUGCAUUA